AUUGAACGCUAGCGGGAUGCUUUACACAUGCAAGUCGAACGGCAGCGCGGACUUCGGUCUGUCGGCGAGUGGCGAACGGGUGAGUAAUGUAUCGGAACGUGCCCAGUAGCGGGGGAUAACUACGCGAAAGCGUAGCUAAUACCGCAUACGCCCUACGGGGGAAAGCAGAGGAUCGUAAUACCUUCCACUAUUUGAUCGCCCGAUAUCGGAUUAGCUAGUUGGUGAGGUAACGGCUCACCAAGGCGACGAUCCGUAGCUGGUUUGAGAGGACGACCAGCCACACUGGGACUGAGACACGGCCCAGACUCCUACGGGAGGCAGCAGUGGGGAAUUUUGGACAAUGGGGGCAACCCUGAUCCAGCCAUCCCGCGUGUGCGAUGAAGGCCUUCGGGUUGUAAAGCACUUUUGGCAGGAAAGAAACGUCGCGGGCUAAUACCCCGUGGAACUGACGGUACCUGCAGAAUAAGCACCGGCUAACUACGUG
rnacentral:rRNA from 1 species